CAGUAGCCGCGGUAAUACGAAGGGUGCAAGCGUUAAUCGGAAUUACUGGGCGUAAAGCGUGCGUAGGCGGUGAGUUAAGUCUGCUGUGAAAUCCCCAGGCUCAACCUGGGAAUGGCAGUGGAUACUGGCUCGCUAGAGUGUGUCAGAGGAUGGUGGAAUUCCCGGUGUAGCGGUGAAAUGCGUAGAGAUCGGGAGGAACAUCAGUGGCGAAGGCGGCCAUCUGGGACAACACUGACGCUGAGGCACGAAAGCGUGGGGAGCAAACAGGAUUAGAUACCCCGGUAGUCCCUGUCUCUUAUAC
rnacentral:rRNA from 1 species